CAGCAGCAGCCACGGUAAUACAGAGGGUGCGAGCGUUAAUCGGAUUUACUGGGCGUAAAGCGUGCGUAGGCGGCUUCUUAAGUCGGAUGUGAAAUCCCUGAGCUUAACUUAGGAAUUGCAUUCGAUACUGGGAAGCUAGAGUAUGGGAGAGGAUGGUAGAAUUCCAGGUGUAGCGGUGAAAUGCGUAGAGAUCUGGAGGAAUACCGAUGGCGAAGGCAGCCAUCUGGCCUAAUACUGACGCUGAGGUACGAAAGCAUGGGGAGCAAACAGGAUUAGAUACCCGAGUAGUCCCUGUCUCUUAUAA
rnacentral:rRNA from 1 species